AGCUACUUACGUCACAAGUAUUAAAUCUGAAGUAGCCACAGAGGCAGAAUACUUGAGAUACGCGUAUGGUAUCGUAUCGGAGUAUCUUGCUGAAGAUCUCUCAAAGAAAUUGGCACAGCACUUGAAUAUACCUGAUGAGACGAGAAUAAGAAACGCAAGCUAAGUAGUCCGAAAGAUGAAGUUAGCGAAAAGAAGCAAAGAAGGAUUCGGUUGAGGAAAGCCCAAAGAAGAGGGCAGUGAAGGAAUUAUCUAACCUGAAAAGAUCCACAAAAGUCCAGCUCCCGGUAAAAAGGAAUUGGCCAGACAGAGAGCAGCUGCAGGAUCCAAAAGUAUCACCAGUUUUUU